ACUCCUACGGGAGGCAGCAGUGGGGAAUAUUGCACAAUGGGCGCAAGCCUGAUGCAGCCAUGCCGCGUGUGUGAAGAAGGCCUUCGGGUUGUAAAGCACUUUCAGUCGUGAGGAAGGUAGUGUAGUUAAUAGCUGCAGUAUUUGACGUUAGCGACAGAAGAAGCACCGGCUAACUCCGUGCCAGCAGCCGCGGUAAUACGGAGGGUGCGAGCGUUAAUCGGAAUUACUGGGCGUAAAGCGCAUGCAGGUGGUUUGUUAAGUCAGAUGUGAAAGCCCGGGGCUCAACCUCGGAAUAGCAUUUGAAACUGGCAGACUAGAGUACUGUAGAGGGGGUAGAAUUUCAGGUGUAGCGGUGAAAUGCGUAGAGAUCUGAAGGAAUACCGGUGGCGAAGGCGGCCCCCUGGACAGAUACUGACACUCAGAUGCGAAAGCGUGGGAGCAAACAGGAUUAGAUACCCCUGGUAGACUGUCA
rnacentral:rRNA from 1 species